rnacentral:rRNA from 1 species
CGCCUCCCGCUAAAAAAUCAAAGUAUAGGAGGUCUUACCUGCCCAGUGACGACAAGUUAAACGGCCGCGGUAUUCUGACCGUGCUAAGGUAGCGCAAUCACUUGUCUUUUAAAUGAAGACCUGUAUGAAUGGUGAAACGAGGGCUCAACUGUCUCCUUUUUCAGGUCAAUGAAAUUGAUCUGCCCGUGCAGAAGCGGACAUGACAAUACAAGACGAGAAGACCCUUUGGAGCUUCAGGCAUAAAAUUAAUUGUAUCCCAGCCUGUAUUCAAAUACAAGAAAAACAAAACAAACCUAAUUUCUAAGCCUUCGGUUGGGGCGACCGUGGGGGAAAACAAAGCCCCCAUGCGGACUAGGACACACCCAAAACCAAGAGGGACACCUCUAAGUCGCAGAACAUCUGACCAAACAGAUCCGGCAUAUUAGCCGAUUAACGGACCAAGUUACCCUAGGGAUAACAGCGCAAUCCCCUUCAAGAGUCCUCAUCGACAAGGGGGUUUACGACCUCGAUGUUGGAUCAGGACAUCCUAAUGGUGCAGCCGCUAUUAAGGGUUCGUUUGUUCAACGAUUAACAGUCCU